AUACCUUUCUCGGCCUUUUGGCUAAGAUCAAGUGUAGUAUCUGUUCUUAUCAGUUUAAUAUCUGAUAUGUGGAUCAUUGGUCCACACGAUAUUAAAUUAAUUUUUUAAGGGGGAGAGGCCAUCUCUAUAGCUUGCUAUUGGGCCUCUCAUGUGUUGCCUAUGUGUUGCAUUAUUGUGUUGUCUGGCACACCCCAC
rfam:Lupinus angustifolius cultivar Tanjil contig_13129, whole genome shotgun sequence.